rnacentral:rRNA from 1 species
ACGGGUGAGUAAUACAUCGGAACGUGCCCUGUAGUGGGGGAUAACUAGUCGAAAGAUUAGCUAAUACCGCAUACGACCUGAGGGUGAAAGUGGGGGACCGCAAGGCCUCAUGCUAUAGGAGCGGCCGAUGUCUGAUUAGCUGGUUGGUGAGGUAAAGGCUCACCAAGGCGACGAUCAGUAGCUGGUCUGAGAGGACGAUCAGCCACACUGGGACUGAGACACGGCCCAGACUCCUACGGGAGGCAGCAGUGGGGAAUUUUGGACAAUGGGGGCAACCCUGAUCCAGCAAUGCCGCGUGUGUGAAGAAGGCCUUCGGGUUGUAAAGCACUUUUGUCCGGAAAGAAAUCGCACUUACUAAUAUUAGGUGUGGAUGACGGUACCGGAAGAAUAAGGACCGGCUAACUACGUGCCAGCAGCCGCGGUAAUACGUAGGGUCCAAGCGUUAAUCGGAAUUACUGGGCGUAAAGCGUGCGCAGGCGGUUGUGCAAGACCGAUGUGAAAUCCCCGGGCUUAACCUGGGAAUUGCAUUGGUGACUGCACGGCUAGAGUGUGUCAGAGGGGGGUAGAAUUCCACGU